AGCACAGGGCCCAAUUCAGCCGAAUUGGCUGAAUCGGCCUUAAGCCGGCCCUGGCCCUGGCCCCAGGGGAUCCAGUUAGAAAUUUAGGAAGCACCCCCUCUCCCCCAGUGGCCUGCCAGUGAGUGGGAUGAUGGAGAGGAGCCCUCAGCUAGCCGAUGGGCUGACCCAAGCCCCGGAGUCAGCAACGUGUCAGUAGGUGGAUACAAGCGUCCAAGAUAAAAAGGUUGAUGUCUGUGGUAAUUUUUCAAAAAAUUGAAUGACAUAACCCCCCAGUGUCACUAAGUACGGUAAUUCUGUCAAGCAUCCAGUGCACAACAUUGUGAAAGUUACUAGUGACCCCCCCUUAACAGAGCAGCCUUUAUGUCAACCAAUGGCCAUUAGGGGGAAGCAGACACUUCAAGUACACAGUAGCCUGAACUUUUCAACUGUCUUCCCUUCAAGGCCUUAAGGUAGUUGGAGCUGGUCCCAAGCCGGUUUUCACUGACCAGAUAACAAAAGCACGGGUCUGACAACCACCAAUCAAGUGUUAACGCUGCAAGGACCUUUGUCUGAAUGUGUAUAAAGGAUCUGUAAAAUGUGUGUAAGACAGAGUUUUUGUACUAAGGUGCAAAGCUCUCUUUUCUUCUGCAGAACAAAGCAACUCUUCCUUAUCCCUGUCUGGCUGUUAUUGGCUCUCAGCUAGGUGGACCCGAUAUUUCGGUAACAGUUUCUGGCGACUCCGCCGGGACUCUCCUAGCUCGGACAUUGGACUCCGGACGGCUGCGGCGAAUUGGGAACGGCGCCAAUGGGGUGUUUCGCCCCUUUUCUCUGCUUCACCGCAGCCCCUGGGGUUCGUGCUCCGAUAAGGUGAGUCCUAAUAGGAUAAGGAGACACUAUCUGGUUCUCGUCUGGUUAACCGGUUAAUGAAUUUCUGUCUUAUACAUUUGGGCGUUAGGUGUGUGGACAGAACUGAGCCUCUCAUUCGUAAUUCCUCAGAGUGAAAGCCAUCACGUGUGAUGAAGCUCUGAGGUUGAAUUGGGAUCCUUCUGUCUUGUCCCCUGUAGCGGUCAGUAUUAGUAGAAAUUCCUGUAAUAGGAUCCUAUUAGGCCAUAAUUCCCUCUGUUCUCUGUGUAAUUCUCUGUUAGAGUGUCAGCAGGCAGAUGGGUGGGUCUCUGGUAAAACCCUCUGAGGAUAGCCCUUUAGAUUAUAUGUUAAGUAAAUGGUCUCUACCCGGUGUUUAAAAAGAAAUAGUUAGACCUUGUGUAGAAAUUGAUGUGGCUAGUGUUGUGGAAAUUGAAUUGUGGAGAGGAUGUGCAUUUUCCCCAGAACAUGUGCAGUGUAUAUAGUAGCUGAGGUAAAAGAAAUGCAAACCUACCAAUAUAGGUUGUGUUGUCUUUUGCAGAUCACUGGGUGUUUGAAAGCAGGAGUUAGAAGUAAAAGGCAAUCAAAAGUCUGGGAAAGUUAAUUGUGUCCUUUUUUUUUUUUUUUAAGUAAGAAUCUUUAAGCUGUGGAUAGCUUUGGAUCUGGAAGCAAGCCAGAAAGCAUCUGUAUUAAUGCAAUUUUCUAACUAAUAAUGUAGAAGCCACUGAAACCUGGGCUGCCUAUGAAAUAAAUACAAGGAAAUAUGGGGUAAUUCUGUUUUGCCUAAAAUCAACAAGAGUAUGUGUAUAUAAAGGAAAUAUUUUAAGCAAUGACUGACUGCCCAGAAGGGGUAGACCUCUGUUCUUUUGUCUUUCAGAUCAUCAGAGAAAACGGAUGCCAGCUGAACAGCAUUCAAUGUACCAUGCAUUUACUGGCACAAUAGGAAUUAUUUUUGUGUUCUAUGGCCAAAAUUGUUGUUAAAAUUUGCAUACCAACAGUCUUUGGAAGCAAGGACAUGGAAGGUUAACCCAUUCCCCAUAUUGCCCAUGGGAUCCUUCUGGCUACCUCAGAUUUCUAGCCAGAGGGCUGGGGAGGGAGGAAAGCUAUUGGACACCAGAGGUUGUACCGAAUGAACUCCUCAAAGAUAAAAGAAGUGCUACCCAAAGACCCUAGCAGCCCUGCCAUUCAUUGAAACAAGGAGACUGAGCCUAUGUAAAGUCUAUCAACGAAAGACUGCUUUGGCUCCACACUGGAAAGGCCUUUUCCAAGUCCUGUUAACCACCAACACCGCUGUGAAGAGCCAAGAACUAUCUGCCUGAACCCAUGCUUCUCACUGUAAAAAGACCCCUCCACCUCGGGAGGACUCUCCGACUGAUAAGCCUAUUUCUCCUUCUAGCUCUGCUAUGCCUUCUGGACAGCAGGAAAAAGGAAAAAAGACAAGGUGAAGUGCUAGUAACCUCUCCCUUGUCCACUGACAGACCUACUGUGCCUUUGGAUUUUUCUAGAAGAAGCAAAACCAUUACAGGGUGAUGUGCUAGUAACCUCUCCCCUGUAUGACGCUAAACCACACUGUUUCAGGAAAAGAGAAGAAGGAACACUUGCUUUAUUGGAACCACCAAAGUCCAGGGAUUCCUGACUACAAGAGACAUUAAGAACUGACCCUGGUGAAGAAACAAAGAAUUAUACACUGGCAGGAAGAAACUUGUGGGACCCAUGCUUGGGAAUGUGAUAUAGUACUACACCAAAAAGAAAUGUAUUAGGAUAUCAAUGAACUGUGAUUAACACUACACUAGGGACUGUUAAAUUUUCAUUACCCUUAUUCAGUUUCCAGAUCCCCUCUAUAUACCCAAAUUGCUCACAGGGGGCUGCCAUUAGAUUAGCACAACAGAGGGCUUGGGUUAUUUCCUCUAGAAAGAAAAGUGACUUGACCGGAUCCCUGUGGGAUGGGGCCAAUAAUGCAGCAGCAGUUUGGAAUAUUUUUAAGAACCAAAACAUGAUGAGAAAUUGGGGCACAGCUAACCCAGGUACAGGCUGGAAUUGGUGAGUUACAUGUUAUCUCCGCCCUUAGUUCGAUGACCCAGAAGUUGCUGAUAGAAAUGGUAUUGAAUAUCACUGAGGCUGGGAAGGCAUUGCAGUGGGAUCUAGCAUGUUCAGAAAUUCAGGAUUUCCUGAAUGACCAGCUAAUGGCCAUUCGAAAUGAUCUAGAGCAUCAGGCUUGGCCCACUGCCCUUACAGACACAUCAGGAGUACCAUCUGAUCUGUGGCCAUGGAGACAUAUGUCAAGGCUGUAUCCCCACUUUGAACUUUAGGGUACAAAUGUAGGGGCCUGCAUGAAAACUUCUAAGCUUAACUACCAGCUUAGCUCUGGUCCGCUGCCACCAUCCCAAGGCUAAUUUCCUUCCCUGGAUAGCCUUGAGAGUCCUUCACCAAUUCCCUGGUGAAUACAGAUCCAAACCUCUUGGAUCUUAAAACAAGGAGAAAUUAACCAUCCCCCCUCCUUCCUCCCACCAACUCCUGGUGAACACAGAUCCAAUCCCCUUGGAUCUAAAACAAGGAGAAAUUAACCAUUCCCCUCCUUCCUCCCACCAACUCCUGGUGAACACAGAUCCAAUCCCCUGGGAUCUAAAACAAGGAGAAAUUAACCAUUCCCCUCCUUCCUCCCACCAACUCCUGGUGAAUCAAGAUCCAAACCCCUUGCAUUUUAAACAAGGAAAACUCAAUCAGGUUCUUAAAAAGAAGGUUUUUAAUUAAAGAAAAAGGUAAAAAUCAUCUCUGUAAAAUCAGUAUGGAAAUUAACCUUACAGGGUAAUUAAACUUAAAGAGCUCAGAGGACUCCCCUCUAGUCUUAGGUUCAAAGUACAGCAAACAAAGAUAAACACUCUAGUAAAAGGUACAUUUACAAAUUGAGAAAACAAAGGAAAAUUAACACGCCUUGCCUGGCUAUUUACUUACAAGUUUGAAAUAGGAGAGACUUGUUUAGAAAGAUGUGGAGAACCUGGAUUGAUGUCUGGUCCCUCUCAGUCCCGAGAGCGAACACACAACCAAACAAAGAACACAAACAAAAGCCUUCCCCCCCCCCCAAGAUUUGAAAGUAUCUUGUCCCCUUAUUGGUCCUUUAGGUCAGAUGCCAGCCAGGUUACCUGAGCUUCUUAACCCUUUACAGGGAAAAGGAUUUUGGAGUAUCUGGCCAGGAGGGAUUUUAUAGUACUGUACACAGGACAGCUGUUACCCUUCCCUUUAUAGUUAUGACAACAUACUUGGAAACUUUCUGGGUGGAAGUACAAACAUUCUCAAUGCUCCUUCCAAGCAUAUAAACCAAUUAGGGGAGGACUUGUGCUCGCAUCGGGGAAAAAUGUUGUUUCUAUGUUAAUCAUUCUGGCUUAAUUGAGCAGGAUUUACAAGCCAUUAAGAAUGCUGCUGUUGUUUUCCGUGCUUUAUCUUUUGAUCACACCUUUAGUUUUGAGGACCUCCUUCCAGACCUUGGGUCAUGGUUUAUGGGGCUCUUUCAAACAAUUGUUAAAUGGAUUCUUUUCUUUCUAUGUGUUAUUUGAAAAAUGAUACAAUGUGCCAAAUGCCUGUGUAAUGCUAUGAUCAAAAGCUCUGCUGUCCAUAAGAAAACACAGUAUCUGUCCCUUCAGCUUGAUCGCAAAUUGCGUAAAGGGCCUGACAAUUUUUGAAUUUGUCAGGCUCGAAGGGGGGACUGUGAAAAUUACUAGUGACCCCCCCUUAACAGAGCAGCCUUUAUGUCAACCAGUGGCCAUUAGGGGGAAGCAGACACUUCAAGUACACAGUAGCCUGAACUUUUCAACUGUCUUCCCUUCAAGGCCUUAAGGUAGUUGGAGAUGGUCCCAAGCCGGUUUUCACUGACCAGAUAACAAAAGCACGGGUCUGACAACCACCAAUCAAGUGUUAACGCUGCAAGGACCUUUGUCUGAAUGUGUAUAAAGGAUCUGUAAAAUGUGUGUAAGACAGAGUUUUUGUACUAAGGUGCAAAGCUCUCUUUUCUUCUGCAGAACAAAGCAACUCUUCCUUA